rnacentral:rRNA from 1 species
CACGAACGCUGGCGGCAGGCUUAACACAUGCAAGUCGAGCGCCCCGCAAGGGGAGCGGCAGACGGGUGAGUAACGCGUGGGAAUCUACCCAUCUCUACGGAAUAACGCAUGGAAACGUGUGCUAAUACCGUAUACGUCCUUCGGGAGAAAGAUUUAUCGGAGAUGGAUGAGCCCGCGUUGGAUUAGCUAGUUGGUGGGGUAAAGGCCUACCAAGGCGACGAUCCAUAGCUGGUCUGAGAGGAUGAUCAGCCACACUGGACUGAGACACGGCCCAGACUCCUACGGGAGGCAGCAGUGGGGAAUAUUGGACAAUGGGCGCAAGCCUGAUCCAGCCAUGCCGCGUGGGUGAUGAAGGCCCUAGGGUUGUAAAGCUCUUUCACCGGUGAAGAUAAUGACGGUAACCGGAGAAGAAGCCCCGGCUAACUUCGUGCCAGCCGCCGCCGUAAAAC